rnacentral:rRNA from 1 species
CCUACGGGAGGCUGCAGUCGGGAAUUUUGCUCAAUGGGCGCAAGCCUGAAGCAGCCACGCCGCGUGAGGGAUGAAGGCCUUCGGGUCGUAAACCUCUUUUGCCGAGGACGAUAAUGACGGUACUCGGUGAAUAAGCCACUGCUAACUCCGUGCCAGCAGCCGCGGUAAUACGUAGGUGGCAAGCGUUGUCCGGAUUUACUGGGCGUAAAGAGCGCGCAGGCGGUCGUAUAAGUCGAAUGUGAAAGCCCCCGGCUCAACUGGGGAGGGUCAUUCGAUACUGUACGACUCGAGGGCAGGAGAGGGAAGUGGAAUUCCGGGUGUAGUGGUGAAAUGCGUAGAUAUCCGGAGGAACACCAGUGGCGAAGGCGACUUUCUGGCCUGUUAUUGACGCUGAGGCGCGAAAGCUAGGGGAGCAAACGGGAUUAGAUACCCGAGUAGUC